GUGCUCAGGUUAAUUGUGGACAUAUGACAUUAUGAGCCAGUAGUGAACUUUAAAUGGUAAAUUCUUAACUGAUGUCYUCACUUUUGAUUUAAUGCAUGAUCAUGGUGAAUUUAAUCUAUUGACUUAGUUUAAUAUUGUAUUGAUAGGUAUUGUUUCCUCGGAGGUAAUACAGCAGUGGCUGGAGGAAGAAAAGAGUAUUCUAAUUAACGAGAAUGCUCCCAAAGUUACUUUUUCAGAAGGACAUGAAUGGAUAAUGGAGUACUUCCAGCUGUUACGCAAAUUUUAUGCAUUGAGGUGUGAAUUAUUGUUUGGUAUCACAAAGGGAUGUAAGUCAUUCGAUUUAAGAUUGCUUCAUUUUUUGCUUUUUAGGGAAAAUGUUAUCCUUCAGCAGGUUGAUGAAUCCUGUGAGAGACAUAUGGGAAAGCUAGUAAACCAACUGCUUGCUAUUGAAAAGGCCCAUAAAAUCCCAAUGAGAUGGAAGCCAACUGAUCAAGAGUUCCAGAAU